AAGUUUCAGGAGAUCUGAUGGGUUUAUCAGGGGUUUCCACUUUUGCUUCUUCCUCAUUUUCUCUUGCUGCUGCCAUGUAAGAAGUGCCUUUUGCCUCCCACCGUGAUUCUGAGGCCUCCCCAGCCAUGUGGAACUAUACACUGCCUCUAGGACUGGGACAGAUAGCCACUGAGUACCUGCUUCAAAUCACCCUGCACGUUUUCUCUUUGGAAAGAUAAGCACUGGAGAACCAUCUCGUUACCUUCAGCAGAAAUGGAAACAAAUCAAGACAUUAAGAAUGCCGCAGUGGACAGCAGUUAUGCAAGGUUCAGCAGAGGAAGUUUUCAAGAUGGUGUGCCUCACUAGCCAGAAAUCAGAAAAGAUCGAAGCUAGCCUUUUCAUCUCAGCUGCUCCUUAAAUCAGUGCAACCCCUCCAAAUUAAUGUGAAUUGAAACUUGCAUUGCUUUUCAACUUAAUUGAAUACUUACUAUAUGUGAACCACUGCACAAAAUAGGGGAAGAAGAUGUGGGAGACAAAGAUGUGGAGCCUGUCUUCAAUAAAUUUACAGUUAGUUUCAGGGUACAUUGUUUUUCUUCUGCUGUUAAUUAGGUGUAUCCCCAAGACAAUAAAUACAUGAAUGGAAAAGUAUAUUCUGUGUUUUAAGUCUCUUUAAUAAAAAACAAAACAAAAUCCAAAAAAACUCCUAACAUGGCAACUCAGGACAUUUUAAUCCUUUUUUUUGUUGUUGGGCUUCUGAUAGGAUCCAUUUUAUUGAUUCCAUAAAUAUUUAGUAGACUUUAGACAUAUUAAUACAUUGUAGUUUGAGUUAAUUUGCAUUAAAUUCUGUUUUUUUCCCCUUAGGUAUAGAUUGUCUGUUGGAAAAAUAUAUUGCUUGUGGAUUUCUUGGGGAGUGGGAAGGUGAAUUAUACCUGUUGUCUCUACAGUCCACUACCUUCCACACCCUAGGGCAGUGGUCCCCAACCUUCUUGGCACCAGGGAUCAGUUUCCUGGAAGACAAUUUUUCUGUGGAUGGUGUGGGGAUGGUUUUGGGAUGGAACUGUUCCACCUCAGAUCAUCAGGCAUUAGUUAGGCUCUCAUAACGAGUGCGCAGCCUAGAUCCCUCACAUGCACAGUUCACAGUAGGGUUUGCGCUGCUAUGAGAAUCUAAGGCUGCCACUGAUCUGACAGGAGGCAGAACUCAGGUGGCAAUGCUUACUGGCCCACUGCUCACCUCUUGCUGUGCGGCCUGGUUCCUAAUAGGCCAUGGACCCCCACAGACGGGUACUAGUCUGCAGCCUGUGGACCCCAGCCCUAGGGGCCUGCCAUUCUGAGUGAGUUAUUAGCAUGAAGAAGAGGAAGAUCUGGAUCAAACGUGGGUGAUGGUACUCAGAGACCCAAGAUAGGAUAGGGAUGGAACAAAAUCCAUCUGGGCAACGGCUCUAUGAAAAUUUGGCUAAGUAAUUAUUUCAGUAUUCAUUGUAUUCAUUGUCCUUCGUGUUCCAUAAGUUAAAUGACUGUCUAAUUUUUCCAAAAAUUUAUUUCUGACUUGAGAAUAAGUGUGUCAUGAUUUUCCCAGUGUAAAGACACUGAUAUAACUGUAGAUACCAGACAUUUUAUGUAGUGUCUAUGACACAUUUUAGUAUGUAUGAGCCAACAAUAGACAUGUCUUUGUCUUGAGGAGUGUCCAUCUGAAUUGAAAAUGUGUCAGCUUUUUUUUAACAUCAUCAACAGACUUCUUAAUUAAGCUGCCAAUACAUACUGCCAAUAGCACUGUGUGCUGUCUGAGAAAUGCAUUGUGUAAGUGCUAUUUCCAUCUUAUUAAAUAA
ensembl:lncRNA NR2F1-AS1 NR2F1 antisense RNA 1